rnacentral:piRNA from 1 species
UGGUCAUGUGGAUGCCCUGUCAUUCUGCCU